ACGCUCGACACCUACGGAGGCAGCAGUGGGGAAUAUUGCACAAUGGGGGAAACCCUGAUGCAGCGACGCCGCGUGAGCGAAGAAGUAUCUCGGUAUGUAAAGCUCUAUCAGCAGGGAAGAAGAUGACGGUACCUGACUAAGAAGCACCGGCUAAAUACGNGCCAGCAGCCGCGGUAAUCUGAGCGGGCUGGCAAGGC
rnacentral:rRNA from 1 species